GUCGAGGAUCUUCCGCAAUGGGCGCAAGCCUGACGGAGCGACGCCGCGUGGAGGACGAAGGCCUUCGGGUUGUAAACUCCUGUCGAGGGUUAUGAAAGUCCAGUAUCUAAUAGGGACUGGUAUGACGUAAGCCCUGAAGGAAGCACCGGCUAACUCUGUGCCAGCAGCCGCGGUAAUACAGAGGGUGCAAACGUUGUUCGGAAUCACUGGGCAUAAAGCGCACGUAGGCUGCCAUGUAAGUGUCGGAUGAAAUCCCACGGCUUACCCGUGGAACUGUCCGGCAUACUGUGUGGCUCGAGGAUGGUAGAGGAGAGCGGAACUCUUGGUGGAGCGGUGAAAUGCGUAGAUAUCAAGAGGAACACCGGUGGCGAAGGCGGCUCUCUGGUCCAUUACUGACGCUGAGGUGCGAAAGCUAGGGGAGCAAACGGGAUUAGAAACCCCGGUAGUCC
rnacentral:rRNA from 1 species